AGUUAGACAGCAAUAUCAUAUUCAGCUUCCCACUAUUGAGAAAACACUUGCAGCAAGUGAUGAUCACCUUCCCUCUAUAUAUGAUUAUAUAUAAAUGAAAACUUUCCCAGUUCCCACUGCUACAACACCAAGGGUGACCAAGCAGGCAGGCAGCAAAAGAAAACUCUCAAGGUGAGAAAACAUGGCAACCCCAACUACCUCCUUAGUGUUCAAAGUGCAAAGAAGGCAGCCAGAGCUCGUUCCACCGGCUAAGCCAACACCGCCAGAGCUCAAACAUCUUUCUGAUAUCGAUGACCAAGAAGGUUUUCGGUUUCAGAUUCCUGGCAUACAAUUUUACCGCAGUGAUCCCUCUAUGGAAGGAAGGGACUGUGUGAAAGUGAUUCGAGAGGCGAUAUCACAAGCACUGGUGUUUUACUACCCUUUUGCCGGUAGGCUUAGAGAGGGGCCUGGCCGGAGGCUUAUGGUGGACUGUACCGGCGAGGAUAUUCUCUUCAUUGAGGCCGAUGCUGAUGUUACGCUCAACCAAUUUGGUAAUAUUCUUCAAACUCCCAUUCCUUGCUUGGAGGAGCUUCUCUAUAAUGUUCCUGGAUCCGAUAGGGUUCUUAAUUGCCCACUCUUGCUGAUACAAGUGACUCGCCUCAAGUGCGGUGGUUUCAUCUUUGCGUACCGUACUAACCACACCAUGUGCGACGCAGCCGGGCUCGUGCAGUUCCUGACCGCUGUAGGAGAGGCAGCGCGUGGCGCGCGUGUCCCCUCCGUAUUACCAGUGUGGGCAAGGGACGCAUUCAAAGCACGUAAUCCACCACGAGUGACUUGCACCCAUCAUGAGUACGAUGAUGUGCCAGAUACCCAUGGCACUCUAUUCCCACUUGAUGACAUGAUUCAUCGUUCGUUUUGCUUCAGGCGCACUGAGAUAUCUGCUCUGCGUAGAUUCCUCCCGGACCACCUUAGCAAAUGUUCUGCCGUCGAACUCCUCACGGCGGCUCUCUGGCGAUGCCGUACUAUUGCCCUUCAGCCAAAAGACCUAGAACAAGAGGUUCGUGUGGGUUGCCUUGUAAAUUUAUAUUUUACAAAAAAGUAAACCCUCCGUUACCUAUUGGUUUUUAUGGCAAUGCAUUUGCAUUUCCGGUGGCACUCACAACUGCUGCCAAGCUUUGCCGAAACCCGCUUGGCUUUGCAGUGGAGGUGGUGAAGUCCGCGAAGGCUAAUGUGACCGAAGAGUAUAUGCGCUCGCUGGCAGAUCUCUUAGUCAUCAGAGGCCGGCCUCCGUUCAACGUGGUUGGUACAUACUAUGUCUCAGAUUUGACUCGUGCCGGGUUCGGAGACGUGGACUUUGGCUGGGGAAAGGCAGCUUAUGCUGGUCCGCCCAUAAGUGGACCUUGGCCCCUGGCUAGGGUGACCAGCUUUUUCAUACCUUUUCAGGACGACAAUGGUGAGGAUGGUAUUGUGGUGCCGGUUAGUUUACCACCUCCGGCAAUGGAAAGAUUUGUGAAAGAACUUAAUGGUAUGCUGAAAGCGAAUGCCAUUGACAUUAAAUCUGCCCUGUGAUGGUCUGGUCUUCUUUUUCUAGUUUCGUUUUAGGGAGACUUUCCCUUUAGUUUAUUAACCUUGUAAAUAAUCUUGUGUUUUCUUCAUCAUGAAUCAAGAAACAAAGAACAAUUAUAAGUUGAGGUUCUCUAUAUACCCCUAAAUAAAAGUCCAGGCUAAUGAGUACUGACAGCUACAACUCAACACAUGAGCGACGUUGAUCCAUAUAACUGGAUGGCUAUGUUCAAAGUUAAUAGAGAAGAUCGUUGAGACAACAACAUUGCCGGAGAUAUUUGUGCUGUGACCGGGGACCUGACAACAGCGAUGGUUGUGCAAUGUGCAUUAACCAGCGUGACUUCUCUCUAGACUGUUUGGUGUGCUGGAUUUGUUCUCCUCACUAAAAUCUAUAACAAAAAAGACUCAUCUGGUACAAGAAUCAAGCACACUAUUUUACAAUCUGGGAGCAAUAUUUCGAGGAGCGUCCCAUUCUGUCACAAUGUGGUCUCGCCUGAUGUCCUUUAACGAGCAGCAACCACUUAAUGCCAUUGUUAGCUCCAGCUCAUCACGAAGCAUUGAAGUACUUUCCUCACACCAGCCUCACCGGCAGCAGCUAAUGAGAACACCACUGGUCUACCAAUCUGAAAUG